GACGAACGCUGGCGGCGUGCUUAACACAUGCAAGUCGUACGGUAAGGCCCUUUCGGGGGUACACGAGUGGCGAACGGGUGAGUAACACGUGAGUAACCUGCCCACAACUUUGGGAUAACGCUAGGAAACUGGUGCUAAUACUGGAUAUGUGCCCCUGCUGCAUGGUGGGGGUUGGAAAGCUCCGGCGGUUGUGGAUGGACUCGCGGCCUAUCAGCUUGUUGGUGGGGUAGUGGCCUACCAAGGCGGCGACGGGUAGCCGGCCUGAGAGGGUGACCGGCCACAUUGGGACUGCGAUACGGCCCAGACUCCUACGGGAGGCAGCAGUGGGGAAUAUUGCACAAUGGGCGCAAGCCUGAUGCAGCAACGCCGCGUGCGGGAUGACGGCCUUCGGGUUGUAAACCGCUUUCAGCAGGGACGAAGCUUUUUGUGACGGUACCUGCAGAAGAAGCACCGGCUAACUACGUG
rnacentral:rRNA from 1 species